GGUAAAGUACCAGAGUGGUCAAAUGGGUAAGACUCAAGUUCUUAUGCUUCGGCUUCGCGAGUUCGAAUCUCGCCUUUAUCA
rfam:Dictyostelium discoideum AX4 chromosome 2, whole genome shotgun sequence.